rnacentral:rRNA from 1 species
ACUCCUACGGGAGGCAGCAGUAGGGAAUCUUCCACAAUGGACGAAAGUCUGAUGGAGCAACGCCGCGUGAGUGAAGAAGGGUUUCGGCUCGUAAAACUCUGUUGUUAAAAGAAGAACAUAUCUGAGAGUAACUGUUCAGGUAUUGACGGUAUUUAACCAGAAAGCCACGGCUAACUACGUGCCAGCAGCCGCGGUAAUACGUAGGUGGCAAGCGUUGUCCGGAUUUAUUGGGGCGUAAAGCGAGCGCAGGCGGUUUUUAAAGUCUGAUGUGAAAGCCUUCGGCUCAACCGAAGAAGUGCAUCGGAAACUGGGAAACUUGAGUGCAGAAGAGGACAGUGGAACUCCAUGUGUAGCGGUGAAAUGCGUAGAUAUAUGGAAGAACACCAGUGGCGAAGGCGGCUACCUGGUCUGCAACUGACGCUGAGACUCGAAAGCAUGGGUAGCGAACAGGAUUAGAUACCCUGGUAGGCUAGCG